GACAGAGGGUGCAAACGUUGUUCGGAAUUACUGGGCGUAAAGCGUGUGUAGGCGGCUAGGUAAGUCGGAUGUGAAAGCCCCAGGCUCAACCUGGGAAGUGCACUCGAAACUGCCUAGCUCGAGUACUGGAGAGGUUGGUGGAAUUCUCGGUGUAGAGGUGAAAUUCGUAGAUAUCGAGAGGAACACCGGUGGCGAAGGCGGCCAACUGGACAGAUACUGACGCUGAGACACGAAAGCGUGGGGAGCAAACAGG
rnacentral:rRNA from 1 species